rnacentral:rRNA from 1 species
UACGUAGGGUGCGAGCGUUAAUCGGAAUUACUGGGCGUAAAGCGUGCGCAGGUGGUUUGUUAAGUCUGCUGUGAAAGCCCCGGGCUCAACCUGGGAAUGGCAGUAGAAACUGGCGAGCUAGAGUGUGGCAGAGGGGGGUGGAAUUCCACGUGUAGCAGUGAAAUGCGUAGAGAUGUGGAGGAACACCAAUGGCGAAGGCAGCCCCCUGGGUUAACACUGACACUCAGGCACGAAAGCGUGGGGAGCAAACAGG